UUGUUGUUGCCGUGUGCAUGCCUAAGUGUUAAUCCUUCGUUUUUUUAAUCCAAUGCUUUACGUGAGAGUUUUUUCAAGUACAUCCUCACUCAAAUCAUCAAGGAAUUCCUGCGCCCAAGAGUCAAUCACAUCAAUAGAGAAACAAGAGUGACCAUCAUAAGGAUAUCUCAUAGCAUCAUAAAUAUUGAAAUCAAUAACUUCCCCAUCAAAUUCCAUGGUCAACGUUCCCUUGAAUACAUUUAUCUUUGUACCGGCAGUCUUCAUGAAUGGUCGGCCAAGUAAUAUUGGUAAUUGAGAGGAAUGGUUCGAGUCUUCCAUUUCAAGCACGUAGAAGUCCGCCAGAAAGACUAGGUGAUUCACCUACACUAAAACAUCCUCCAAAACACCUUUUGGAUACGCAUUAGAUAUAUCGGCCAGUUGAAUGAUCACUCCAUCAUUUUUUAAUUCUCCCAACUUCAUAGAUGCAUAUAUUGAAUAAGGCAUGACAUUUAUUGAUGCACCUAGAUUUAACAUGGCAGAUUCAAAGCAAGUAUUUCCUAUAACACAAGGAAUUGUA
rnacentral:lncRNA from 1 species